rnacentral:SRP_RNA from 1 species
GCUAGACGUGGUGGCGUGUGCCUGUAGUCCCUGCUACUUGGGAGGCUGAAGUGGGAGGAUUGCUUGAGCCCAGGAGGUCAAGGCUGCAGUGAGCUAUGAUUGGGCCACUGCAGUCCAGCCUGGGCAACAGAGCAAGACCCUGUCUCAA